AUUGAACGCUGGCGGCAGGCCUAACACAUGCAAGUCGAAUGGUAACAGGAACCAGCUUGCUGUUUCGCUGACGAGUGGCGGACGGGUGAGUAAUGUCUGGGAAACUGCCUGAUGGAGGGGGAUAACUACUGGAAACGGUAGCUAAUACCGCAUAACGUCGCAAGACCAAAGAGGGGGACCUUCGGGCCUCUUGCCAUCAGAUGUGCCCAGAUGGGAUUAGCUAGUAGGUGGGGUAACGGCUCACCUAGGCGACGAUCCCUAGCUGGUCUGAGAGGAUGACCAGCCACACUGGAACUGAGACACGGUCCAGACUCCUACGGGAGGCAGCAGUGGGGAAUAUUGCACAAUGGGCGCAAGCCUGAUGCAGCCAUGCCGCGUGUAUGAAGAAGGCCUUCGGGUUGUAAAGUACUUUCAGCGGGGAGGAAGGGAGUAAAGUUAAUACCUUUGCUCAUUGACGUUACCCGCAGAAGAAGCACCGGCUAACUCCGUG
rnacentral:rRNA from 1 species